rnacentral:rRNA from 1 species
UGGUUGGUCACGUCUGCUGUGGAAACGCAACGCUUAACGUUGCGCGUGCAGUGGGUACGGGCUGACUAGAGUGCAGUAGGGGAGUCUGGAAUUCCUGGUGUAGCGGUGAAAUGCGCAGAUAUCAGGAGGAACACCGGUGGCGAAGGCGGGACUCUGGGCUGUAACUGACACUGAGGAGCGAAAGCAUGGGGAGCGAACAGGAUUAGAUACCCUGGUAGUCCAUGCCGUAAACGUUGGGCACUAGGUGUGGGGGGCAUUCCACGUUCUCCGCGCCGUAGCUAACGCAUUAAGUGCCCCGCCUGGGGAGUACGGUCGCAAGGCUAAAACUCAAAGGAAUUGACGGGGGCCCGCACAAGCGGCGGAGCAUGCGGAUUAAUUCGAUGCAACGCGAAGAACCUUACCAAGGCUUGACAUACACCGGACCGUCCUGGAAACAGGUCCUCUUCUUUGAAGCUGGUGUACAGGUGGUGCAUGGUUGUCGUCAGCUCGUGUCGUGAGAUGUUGGGUUAAGUCCCGCAACGAGCGCAACCCUCGUUCUAUGUUGCCAGCACGUGAUGGUGGGAACUCAUAGGAGACUGCCGGGGUCAACUCGGAGGAAGGUGGGGAUGACGUCAAAUCAUCAUGCCCUUUAUGUCUUGGGCUUCACGCAUGCUACAAUGGCUGGUACAGAGAGAGGCGAACCCGUGAGGGCAAGCGAAUCCCUUAAAGCCAGUCUCAGUUCGGAUCGUAGUCUGCAAUUCGACUACGUGAAGUCGGAGUC